AUUGAACGCUGGCGGUAUGCUUAAGACAUGCAAGUCGAACGGUAGCAGGACUAGCUUGCUAGUUGCUGACGAGUGGCGGACGGGUGAGUAACGCGUGGGAAUCUGCCCAGUAGCGGGGGAUAGCCCGGAGAAAUCCGGAUUAAUACCGCAUACGCCCUACGGGGGAAAGGCUUCGGCCACUAUUGGAUGAGCCCGCGUUAGAUUAGCUUGUUGGUGAGGUAAAGGCUCACCAAGGCGACGAUCUAUAGCUGGUCUGAGAGGAUGAUCAGCCACAUCGGGACUGAGACACGGCCCGGACUCCUACGGGAGGCAGCAGUCGGGAAUAUUGGACAAUGGGCGAAAGCCUGAUCCAGCAAUACCGCGUGUGUGAAGAAGGCCUGCGGGUUGUAAAGCACUUUCGCUAGGGAAGAUAAUGACGGUACCUAGAUAAGAAGCACCGGCUAACUCCGUGCCAGCCGCCGCCGUAACAC
rnacentral:rRNA from 1 species